rnacentral:lncRNA from 1 species
AUUAGUUUAUCUAAAAAUACUCCUUAAGAUGCCGAAAAAAGCCUAGAUUCUUUCCCAAAACCUUGAUAUUUGAUCCUUCACCCUUCUCUUUUCUUUCUCUUUUUCUCUUACUAGACUACUAUCCCUCUCUGUCUCUCUCUCUCUCUCUUUCUCUAUACCUUUAAAAAAUUAAAGAAUGGAAGUGUGGAGAGAAAGGAAAGGGGGAGGGCAAUUUAUAGAGUUUUGGAGCUGUUAGAUUCGUGCCAAGUGGCAAAAUCUAGUGAAAAAAGAGGAGAAAAAGAUGUUUGGCAUGAAAAACAAAGGAGGAGUGCCUCCUUCACCGACGGUAGUUGCACCCUACCUAAGGCAGUGGCGGCGCAUAGCUCGAGGUGGCAAUGUUUCGGUCGAUGUGCUGCAGGCUAGCUUGUUGGCGCACAGGCCUCAUGUCGCGUGCAAGCCCCAGCGCACAGGGCUUAUUCGUGCAGGCCUGUUGCGCGGACAAUGAACGCACAAAUUGCGGUGCCUAUCCACCUGCAAGUGACAUGCAG